GAUGAACGCUGGCGGCGUGCCUAAUACAUGCAAGUCGAGCGAACAGAUAAGGAGCUUGCUCCUUUGACGUUAGCGGCGGACGGGUGAGUAACACGUGGAUAACCUACCUAUAAGUCUGGGAUAACUUCGGGAAACCGGAGCUAAUACCGGAUAACAUAUUGAACCGCAUGGUUCAAUAGUGAAAGGCGGCUUUGCUGUCACUUAUAGAUGGAUCCGCGCCGUAUUAGCUAGUUGGUAAGGUAACGGCUUACCAAGGCAACGAUACGUAGCCGACCUGAGAGGGUGAUCGGCCACACUGGAACUGAGACACGGUCCAGACUCCUACGGGAGGCAGCAGUAGGGAAUCUUCCGCAAUGGGCGAAAGCCUGACGGAGCAACGCCGCGUGAGUGAUGAAGGUCUUCGGAUCGUAAAACUCUGUUAUCAGGGAAGAACAAAUGUGUAAGUAACUGUGCACAUCUUGACGGUACCUGAUCAGAAAGCCACGGCUAACUACGUG
rnacentral:rRNA from 1 species